AAUAAAAGAUUACUCUUCAGUCCAUAGGAAACCUAUAAUUUAAGGUAUCAUGUCAUUCAUUUGCUUUCAGAAGAUGUGAUUAUGAUGGAUUGUGCUUUAAAGCAAUCAUACAGCUUCCAUCAGCUGCAUUUACAUGGCUUAUUAUAUGAAUCUUGUCAACCUUCUGGCCUGCUACAUUGUUGCUGUAAAAAAUCUGGUGAGAUAGUCCCACAUGACUUGGAAGAUCCCUGCUCCUCCAACAGGCCGUCCCCUAUCACCGUCUCCACAAACACCAUCUGUAUGUACUGAGGAAGUGAUUUCACAAAUAAGUGAGUCAUAUGCCAGAACUUUUCACUU
rnacentral:lncRNA from 1 species